UUAAAUUGAAGAGUUUGAUCAUGGCUCAGAUUGAACGCUGGCGGCAGGCCUAACACAUGCAAGUCGAACGGUAACAGGAAACAGCUUGCUGUUUCGCUGACGAGUGGCGGACGGGUGAGUAAUGUCUGGGAAACUGCCUGAUGGAGGGGGAUAACUACUGGAAACGGUAGCUAAUACCGCAUAAUGUCGCAAGACUAAAGAGGGGGACCUUCGGGCCUCUUGCCAUCGGAUGUGCCCAGAUGGGAUUAGCU
rnacentral:rRNA from 1 species